rnacentral:lncRNA from 1 species
GGGAGAUCGGGCCGUGUGAGCUUUCCUCAGGAGUGAGCAAAAACAGGAACGUGCCUGCAGAGGGAGGAGUUCCCAAAGAGGAAACGGCGCAGGAACAGCAAAUGCAGAGAGGAUGCACACUCUGAAGAGGGCAGGCAGCUUCUGCACCGAGGGAGCAAAGGGGCGUGUCAGGGGCAGCUGCUGGAAGGAGGCGCAAGCACCACGGAGAGUCUGGGAUGCCCAGCCAAGGAGCCCUGGAAGGGUUGCCCUGGGGACUGACACUGUGGGCUCUGUGUUUUAGCCAAGUCACCCAGGCAGCUGAACAGAAGAUGGACUGGAGGGAGAAGCCUGGAUGUAGGAUCGCUCAGCAACAAAGGAGCCAGAAAAGGCAAGGUGUACACACCGUGUGCAGCAUGGGCGAGCUGCAGGCAUGCAGGAGCUGUAACGCUCACUGCGAAGAUCUGCAGCUUCACUCCUGAGCCCAGCGAGACCGUGAACCCACCGGGAGGAACGAACAACUCCA